rnacentral:rRNA from 1 species
UAAUACGUAGGGGGCGAGCGUUGUCCGGAUUCAUUGGGCGUAAAGCGCGCGCAGGCGGUUGCGAGAGCCCGGCGUGAAAGCCCCCAGCUCAACUGGGGGAGGCCGUCGGAGACCUCGUGACUUGAGGCCGGUAGGGGAGAGCGGAAUUCCCGGUGUAGUGGUGGAAUGCGUAGAUAUCGGGAGGAACACCAGUGGCGAAGGCGGCUCUCUGGACCGGUUCUGACGCUCAGGCGCGAAAGCGUGGGGAGCGAUCCGGAUUAGAUACCCGGGUAGUCCACGCUGUAAACGAUGGGUGCUAGGUGUCGGGGGUAUCGACCCCUCCGGUGCCGUCGCUAACGCAAUAAGCACCCCGCCUGGGGACUACGGCCGCAAGGCUA